rnacentral:ncRNA from 1 species
CGUUCCGGUGCGAGGGGCGCUCUCUUCCAAGGACCGCGGCGGGGAAAAGACCCUCACCAAGCCCCACCCCUCCCGCCGCGGGCGACGCUCACUCGCGCGCACAAAUGCGACGGCCCCCGCCGGGAGCGCAAUCCCGAUGCGAGGGCCUGACCACCGAGGAAGUCAAGAGCUUCCCG